AUACGUAGGGUGCAAGCGUUAAUCGGAAUUACUGGGUGUAAAGGGUGCGUAGGCGGCUUUUUAAGUCAGAUGUGAAAUCUAUGGGCUCAACCCAUAAACUGCAUUUGAAACUAGAGAGCUUGAGUGAAGUAGAGGCAGGCGGAAUUUCCUGUGUAGCGGUGAAAUGCGUAGAGAUAGGGAGGAACACCAGUGGCGAAGGCGGCUUGCUGGGCAUUAACUAAUGCUGAGGCACGAAAGCGUGAGUAGCAAACAGGAUUAGACACCCUGGUAGUCCACGCUGUAAACGAUGAUUACUAGGUGUGGGGGGACUGACCCCUUCCGUGCCGGAGUUAACACAAUAAGUAAUCCACCUGGGGAGUUCGGCCGCAAGGUUGAUACUCAAAUGAAUUGACGGGG
rnacentral:rRNA from 1 species